GCCCUUAUGGCGCAGUGGUAACGCGUCGCACUUGUAACCACUGGCGAGUCCUUUCAAGGCUUGCUCUAUGCCAUGCAUAUGCGAAGAUCUUCAGUUCAAUUCUGAAUGGGGGCA
rfam:Cyphellophora europaea CBS 101466 unplaced genomic scaffold supercont1.7, whole genome shotgun sequence.